ensembl:lncRNA
UUGUGUUUAAGGGAAACCAUCAACCAAAACAUCUAUGGUCAAACCCACAGUCAGUGUGAAGGGGGCACGGAUCUGGAGGACCAUCAAUGCAGGGACCAGCCAUGAUCUGCCUUCUACUAAAGCGUCAAAAGCCCCCCACAAGCACAGUCGACCUUCAAGAAACACCCAUCAUAUCGUCUGUCAGUGCUGUCAAGUCCCCAGUACAGCCUCUGUGUUUUCCAGUGUUUUCAGGUGACCCUGUGAAAGCAUCAUUCAACCCCCAAAGGGAUCUCAACCCACAGGAUCUCAAGGCAGUAUUGCAGCUAAAGAGAUCCCCAUAUUUCUGGGCUCUUGGUCCUAGCUUCUUUUGUUUUGUUUUGCUUUUUGUGUUUUUAUUUUUGUUUUUCGAGACAGGGUUUCUCUGUGUAGCUUUGGAGCCUGUCCUGGAACUUACUCUGUAGACCAGGCUGGCCUCGAACUCACAGAGAUCCGCCUGCCUCUGCCUCCCAAGUGCUGGUAUUGAAGGUGUGCACCACCAACGCCUGGCUUGGUCCUAGCCUCUACACAUCCCUUCUUCCUCCUCCUCUCCUCUUGUGUGGCACAUGUGAGUAUGUAUGGAUGCACUCCCCAGAGCACUCACAUGGAGAGGCCAAAGGUGGACUCUAGCAUCUUCCUCAAUUACUCUUGAUCUUAUUAUUUUCAAAGACUUAAUUUACUUGUAUUUAUGUGGGUGCCUGUGUGGCCAUCAGAUCUUCUGGAGCUGUAGAUACCGGUGAUGGUGAACAGCCUGACAGCUGGGAACUGAACUCUAGUCUACUUUAAGAUGAGCCAAGAGUUCUUAACUACUGGCCCUCUCUCCAGCCCUCUCUGCCUUAUGUUUAGUCUCUCACUGAACCUUGAGCUCACUGCUUAGACUAGACAGACUGGCCAGUGAGCUCCCAGGAUCAACCUGUUUCUGCCCACCACCAGCACUCACCCCUUCAUUGAGAGAACUACAGGCAUAUGCUGCCACACACAACUUUUUAAAUGGGUUCUGUCAAUCAAAUCCAGGUCCUCCCUUUACCCACUGAGUCAUCUCCCAGACCCUCCCCUUCUUUUCCCUGAGAAAAAGCUAACCAGUGCUUAGACCUGCUUGCUGUCCAUAGAAAGUUGGAAUGUAUUUUCAAACUGGAUCAUGUCCGGUCCUUCGGGGUGCAAAUUUCUGCAGCUUUGUCCAAUAUAACAUUCUUUUAAAACCCUGUGGGUUUUUUGUGAGUCUAACUCGGAUCCAUGUGUGCACUAAACACCACACCCAUGGUUAAUUUCAAAGACUCUAUUCUUGCUGCUGUGGGCACCUCUAAUACGCUCAGAAGCCCUUCCCUCAAGCUGAAAGUUUCUGCCAAACACCACUCGACACUGGCUGGGGUCUUAACAAAGGUCCCAUAGCCACACCCUAAUUCCAUCUUUCCUUUAGGCCAUUUCCUUACUUUAGGAGUCCAUUCCCUCCCAGACAGACAAAAAUGAGGACCAGUUUUACUUUCCAAAGCGCAAACUCAGCAGGAUCUAGCUAGCCCCUCCCUCCACUGUAACAGUCUCACCAGAUCCACAGGCAGCAGAAAGAGAGAGCCACUGGGCCUGGCUUGGGCUUUUGAAACUUUGAAAUCCAUUCCCAGUGACACACUUCCUCCAACAAGGCCUUCUAGUCCUUCUCAAGUAAUGCCACUCCCUGAUGACCAAGCAUUCAAGUACAUGAGUCUAUGGGGGCCCAUUCCUAUUCAAACCAUCACAUACCUAAAUGCAAGGUUUUCUUGUUUCGUUUUGUGUUUUGUUUUAGCAAAAAGGAGGAAUUAGAAGAGAGAUGUGUUUUCCUCUCAGAUUUGGAAUAUGAAGCCCAAGGUUUCAUGGUUGUGGAUCCAUCCGGUCAGCAUCUGGAAAGAGACUUCCUUCCAACUGCUUCUGGGGAGUUUGUAGGAGGAUCACACAGAAGAGAGAUCACACGGAGAGAUGAGACAAAUCCACUCCCUCAAUAACCCACUCAUGAGGAGGAAGGGGAUGGAAGACUCCGAGGAGAAAGUGUCCUCAAACGCAACAGGACUGAAGCACAUUUAAAUUCAGAGAGACUAUGGCAGGAUGCACAGGUUCAAGACAGAAAGGCAGGAAGUUGGCGUAUCUCCCACCCCUAACCGAGGAGCCACCGGCAAUUGACUCUGCUUAAAAGGGAAAACAUUAUUUCUCUUCAGUGGAGUCUCAAAAGACCAGGCUCCACAGCCAAAACUUGUCACUGGAGGCACCAGCUCAGAGGGAAAGGAGAGGGGAGCUAGCAGGCCUCCCCGCAGCACCCUUCCGUUGUCCAGACUUCUGAAGGCUCUAGCAAGAGAAAGGGUUACAGCCUUAAAAAGAGACCAAGCGGCUCCAGAUAUGAGAAGGAGGCUGCCGCAUCCUAAUUCCAGAAUCCUAAACUGUCUUUUCCCUGAGCGGGCCAGCCAGCCAUAAUUCCGAGGGUACCCCUUCAGGAGCAGCAAGCCACCUACCCACACCCAGCGCGCCGCCCUUGCCCGCCACCCACCCC